rnacentral:rRNA from 1 species
CCAGACUCCUACGGGAGGCAGCAGUAGGGAAUCUUCGGCAAUGGACGAAAGUCUGACCGAGCAACGCCGCGUGAGUGAAGAAGGUUUUCGGAUCGUAAGACUCUGUUGGUAGAGAAGAACGUUGGUGAGAGUGGAAAGCUCAUCAAGUGACGGUAACUACCCAGAAAGGGACGGCUAACUACGUGCCAGCAGCCGCGGUAAUACGUAGGUCCCGAGCGUUGUCCGGAUUUAUUGGGCGUAAAGCGAGCGCAGGUGGUUUAUUAAGUCUGGUGUAAAAGGCAGUGGCUCAACCAUUGUAUGCAUUGGAAACUGGUAGACUUGAGUGCAGGAGAGGAGAGUGGAAUUCCAUGUGUAGCGGUGAAAUGCGUAGAUAUAUGGAGGAACACCGGUGGCGAAAGCGGCUCUCUGGCCUGUAACUGACACUGAGGCUCGAAAGCGUGGGGAGCAAACAGGAUUAGAUACCCUGGUAGUCCACGCCGUAAACGAUGAGUGCUAGAUGUAGGGAGCUAUAAGUUCUCUGUAUCGCAGCUAACGCAAUAAGCACUCCGCCUGGGGAGUACGACCGCAAGGUUGAACUCAAAGGAAUUGACGGGGGCCCGCACAAG